GAGGAAGCCGGUGUGAAUCCGGCGCGGUCCCGCCACUGUCACCGGGGAGCGAUCCUCACCACGCCACUGCCCCACCGGGCGGGAAGGCCGAGGGGAGCGUCGAUCCGGGAGCCAGGAUACUC
rnacentral:ncRNA from 2 species